GUAAGCCAUACGAGGGGCAAAAAAAAAAUUGGGGCAGCCGCAAUACACAACGCACUUAGAGGGAGAGAGAGAAGGAGACGACGAAAGACUUGGGUGAUUCCAGUUUCGAUCGACGACGCUGAAAAAGGUGGCAUUCCGACGUGGGUAGUCUCCAUUCGUAGGUGGUUUUUCCAGCAUGGGUGUUCUCGGUGCGCUAGGUGGUCUGUUCGGCGCGGGUCUCCGACGAUUGGAUGUCCGUGUUCAGCGUGUGGGUAAAAAUCGAUCUGCAGCUUACCUUUUUGGUAUUGAUAUUGGUUACUUUGUCUGUCCCUUCCUUUUAGAAGUUGUUAUAAAAGGAAGUAUUAAAACCGAUUGAAGGUAGGUUUUUGGAUAUAGACGUUCUUCUUGUGCGAUUGUUGCAGAAAGAGUAGAAAGAAGCGCUGCUAAAUUUAUAGAAAGGGUAUGUGAUUCUUGAAAAGAAGUGAGUUUAGGGGAGUUUAAACAUGCAAGAUCGAACAAGCUUCUUCUAACUCAAGGGGAGCCUGAAUUGUGAGAAGAUCUUGAGAGAGGUGACAUCAAGUUUAGGGGGAAUCUAAACAAAAUACCUAUAUAAAGUUUACUAUAUUACAUGAUAGUAGUUCUAUUAGAUAAGUAGUCUUCCUUGUAAACUUUUGAAUAUUAUUAUCUUCUUCUCAUUUCGGUUCUAAGUCCUUAGAUGUACGUAAAGUUAUAUCAAACUGGAUUAACAUCUUGUGUGUUA